rnacentral:rRNA from 1 species
GACGAACGCUGGCGGCGUGCUUAACACAUGCAAGUCGAACGGAAAGGCCCUGCUUUUGUGGGGUGCUCGAGUGGCGAACGGGUGAGUAACACGUGAGUAACCUGCCCUUGACUUUGGGAUAACUUCAGGAAACUGGGGCUAAUACCGGAUAGGAGCUCCUGCUGCAUGGUGGGGGUUGGAAAGUUUCGGCGGUUGGGGAUGGACUCGCGGCUUAUCAGCUUGUUGGUGGGGUAGUGGCUUACCAAGGCUUUGACGGGUAGCCGGCCUGAGAGGGUGACCGGCCACAUUGGGACUGAGAUACGGCCCAGACUCCUACGGGAGCCAGCAGUGGGGAAUCUUCAACAAUGGGCGGAAGCCUGAUGCAGCAACGCCGCGUGCGGGAUGACGGCCUUCGGGUUGUAAACCGCUUUCGCCUGUGACGAAGCGUGAGUGACGGUAAUGGGUAAAGAAGCACCGGCUAACUACGUG